rnacentral:lncRNA from 1 species
GUUUUGUAAAGUUUAAUUUUUAUUUUUUGCUUAAGGGUCCAAUUGCCAAAUUUCUAAAGUUCAGGGAUCAAAAUGACAAUAUCCACUGCUGCUUGAAACGUCGUCGUUGCUGGUAGAAUUCCUUGCUGCCAAAACGCUGCCGUUGCUGGUGGAACAACCGUGUGAUCUUCUUCAUCCCGAUUCAACAGGAUACCUGAAAAUCUGCAACAGAUUCAAUCGUGGACCGCGUCCCUUGCCCACGAUCUCGUUCGUGGAAGAGACAGUCCUGCAAAGGCAGGACUGAUUAGGGGCAAGCUGUGGGUCUCUAUAAAAGGGAGACCGAAGACCAGAACCAGAAGAAGGGGGAUCCAAAAAAAAACACAGAGUCAAGAACGGAAGAAAAGCCAGAAAAACAACCCAAAAAAAAAACAGAGCAAUUCUGUCGCACCCGACAGAGCAAACAAAACACAAUCAAAAAAAGAAAAUACAGAGAGAGGAACGAAGACACAGGGGAAGGGGAAACAGAGAAAAAAAAUAGAGGCACACAGAAAUACAUAAAGAAAUAACACGCAGAACAGGGGAGAAAAAGGGAAGCACACACACAGACAAGGAUUGAUUAUCCCUGCCAUCGUUUUAUCCCUGCAAAAAACAAAAAAUAAAGACAACAAUCGGCAUCCACAGUAAACCGGCAUCUCCAUUGUUGUCUCCUUCGUCAUCUCAAAGUCUGUUUAAAAAGAGCAGAACCGGGAGGCUGAAAGCAAGAACAGACGCAAACCAGGAAAUAAAGAAAGCAAAGGAAAAAAUAGAGCAAGAGGAGGCAGCGUCGUUCGUCCAGCACAACGCCAUCGCCUUCAUUCUGCUCCCAGGCAAGUAUCUCCAAGCUUUGUAAAAUAAUUCACCAAUACUGUGCAUUAGAGAUUUAAUUAAGUGGUGACUGCAGCAAGCGUGCGUGAAUUGUGCGUGAACAACUCACGCACGCUUGCAGAUGAAAUUUGCCGGGUCACUGGCUUGGGCCAGUGACCGGGCUGGGCCCAGCCC